rnacentral:rRNA from 1 species
CGUGCUUAACACAUGCAAGUCGAACGAUGACCCUGGUGCUUGCACCAGGUGAUUAGUGGCGAACGGGUGAGUAACACGUGAGUAACCUGCCCCCGACUCUGGGAUAAGCCCGGGAAACUGGGUCUAAUACCGGAUAUUCACUUCCUUCCGCAUGGAGGGUGGUGGAAAGAUUUAUCGGUGGGGGAUGGACUCGCGGCCUAUCAGCUUGUUGGUGGGGUAAUGGCCUACCAAGGCGACGACGGGUAGCCGGCCUGAGAGGGUGACCGGCCACACUGGGACUGAGACACGGCCCAGACUCCUACGGGAGGCAGCAGUGGGGAAUAUUGCACAAUGGGCGAAAGCCUGAUGCAGCGACGCCGCGUGAGGGAUGACGGCCUUCGGGUUGUAAACCUCUUUCAGUAGGGAAGAAGCGAAAGUGACGGUACCUGCAGAAGAAGCGCCGGCUAACUACGUGCCAGCAGCCGCGGUAAUACGUAGGGCGCAAGCGUUAUCCGGAAUUAUUGGGCGUAAAGAGCUCGUAGGCGGUUUGUCGCGUCUGCCGUGAAAGUCCGGGGCUCAACCCCGGAUCUGCGGUGGGUACGGGCAGACUAGAGUGAUGUAGGGGAGACUGGAAUUCCUGGUGUAGCGGUGAAAUGCGCAGAUAUCAGGAGGAACACCGAUGGCGAAGGCAGGUCUCUGGGCAUUAACUGACGCUGAGGAGCGAAAGCAUGGGGAGCGAACAGGAUUAGAUACCCUGGUAGUCCAUGCCGUAAACGUUGGGCACUAGAUGUG